GAGCGCGGCCGCGGGAGGUGCCCUGCCCGGGGGGCACCGAGCUGUCUUUAACGCUGUUCGGUAUUUUUAUUUAUUUGUUUGUUUGUUUAAAUUCUCCCCGUGCGAUAAAUCGUGUGUGCGUUGCUGAGGGAGGUGUCUGAAGCGCUAUGGGAAGCACAAGCAGGACAGAAAUUCCAGCAGGGGAGCCAGUGUGAACGCAGUUUUGAAGACAUUGAUCCCUUCCUAGGAUGGUAGAGGAAGGAAAGUAGGCACGUGCUUUGGAUACCAAUAUGUGAAACUGCAUGAUUGUUAAUGAUAUCAGUACAAAGAGCAAGACUAGAAGUCUGAAGCAAGUCCCAGUCUGUGAGAUUCUUCUUAUCAUCUGCCGCUACAAUGAACACAGGGCUACUGAAGGACCAACUGCCCAACAUCUCUUGUAGUAGUUGAGAUCUACCAAGAUGAUCAAGUCAGUUCUACAUUGCUACUUACUGAUGACUUUUUUGCUAAUCUGUCACGUACAACUCAGAAAAGAAUUUGUUUUUUACUCCAUAAAGUUUACACCAGUGUUUCCAGAGAUCUCAGUAACUCAAAGCUUCUGGUUAAAAAAAAGUGACACUGGACAAACUUUAAGUAUCUUUGAAUUUGCUUAGCCAGGAAAAUGAAAUUGACCCUGAUACUCUUACAGUCUAAAUCAAGUGUUAAAGAAUAAAGAACUGAAAGAGGGAGCUGCUGCAUCCUCAAAGGCUUUUAAUGGAUCGUUGCCCCCCCGUCAGAAUCAAAGACACAGAGAAGUGAAGUGUUGUGAUCAAAGACGUACAUCAUGUGUCUGAAAUGGAAUCCAGGAAAUGCAAAUUCAACUGGCACAAAGGACUGUCACCUCUUUGCUCUGGUUAUGUGCAUCUCUAAAUUAGCUGUUAGAUAAUUUUGCCACUUCGCUGAACUUUUGCCCAUUGUGCACUGAAGGCAUUUAUUCUUCCUUGUCCAGGAAGAAAGGCUUUAGUAGUAGUUAUGAAGAUAAAAGAGAGAAUAAAGCUCCCAUGCUAAUCUUA